rnacentral:rRNA from 1 species
UACGUAGGGCGCAAGCGUUGUCCGGAAUUAUUGGGCGUAAAGAGCUCGUAGGCGGUUUGUCGCGUCGGCUGUGAAAACCCGAGGCUCAACCUCGGGCCUGCAGUCGAUACGGGCAGACUAGAGUGUGGUAGGGGAGACUGGAAUUCCUGGUGUAGCGGUGAAAUGCGCAGAUAUCAGGAGGAACACCGGUGGCGAAGGCGGGUCUCUGGGCCGAUACUGACGCUGAGGAGCGAAAGCGUGGGGAGCGAACAGG